UUUGGAUCAUGUUCAUCCAUUUCAUUCAUGACUGUCACUACUAUUAGACUUCAGACUGUAGCUUUAGAUUCUUACCAAAACAGCAAAAACCUCAGCCACAAGUCAGACUGAACUUUCAACGACUGCCGUCUUAAUGGAUGGGCUUACCCUGGUCUACGCCUCCAACAAACUAGUGAACUCAGUAGGCAUUAACAAACAUACUUCUCUUUUGUAUUUACCACCCCAAUAUCAAAAAUGUUGAGAUGCAGUACAAAAGGUAAACGAAAACAUACUGAAAUUAUUUGCAAAUGUCAUAAACUGAAAAAAUUGUACCAUUUUAGGAAAAAAAUAAGGUCAUUUUAUAUUUGAUGAUAGUGACACAUCUGAAAGAAGUUGGAAAGAGCCAUCCUUUCUACUGUGCAGCAAACAAGACAAGAGCUGUUUAUUUCAACUGAUAGACAGUCCAUACGGCAAACCAGAAAUCCAAUAAUAGAAUUUUUGAUAUUAGCGGUUCUAUUUCUUACACAAGCAUGUGUAACAGAAAAGAAUACCUCAUCUCUCAUCAUUCUUAUUUUUGUUGUGUAUGGUAAAGACCAAUAUAGACUAUCCAGUCACUUAAAUACUGCAAUCCAAAGUGUCAUUAAAGAAAUAUUAUAUAAAUAAAUAUAUAAAGGGGCUGCUCUAGGCCGCAGGACGAUGAUCGAUUUUGUAAUCGUAUCACCAGACCUGCGGCCAUAUGUUUUGGACACUCGGGUAAAGAGAGGGGCUGAGCUGUCAACCACCACCUGGUGGUGAGUUAGAUCAGGUGGCGGGGGAGGAUACUGGACAGACCUGACGCACCUAAAUGUAUAGUGAAGGUGUGCUGUGAACGCCUAGCAAAGGCCCCAGUCUGCAAGAUCUUCAACGCAUACCUCCGGCAGAGCUUCAACAGCAUUUGAGAUGAGAUGAGAGAUGAGACAGCCUUUAUUUGUCAGUUGCAGGUCUUUUGACCACCACCGAGAUGACAGACCUUGCCGACCGUACAUACAUUACACAA